rnacentral:rRNA from 1 species
AUUGCACGCUGGCGGCAGGCCUAACACAUGCAAGUCGAGCGAGCGGCGGACGGGUGAGUAAUGUCUGGGGAUCUGCCCGAUAGAGGGGGAUAACUACUGGAAACGGUAGCUAAUACCGCAUACUAUCGGAUGAACCCAGAUGGGAUUAGCUAGUAGGUGGGGUAAAGGCUCACCUAGGCGACGAUCCCUAGCUGGUCUGAGAGGAUGAACAGCCACACUGGGACUUAGACACGGCCCAGACUCCUACGGGAGGCAGCAGUGGGGAAUAUUGCACAAUGGGCGCAAGCCUGAUGCAGCCAUGCCGCGUGUAUGAAGAAGGCCUUAGGGUUGUAAAGUACUUUCAGCGGGGAGGCGUUACCGACAGAAGAAGCACCGGCUAACUCCGUGCCAGCAGCCGCGGUAAUAC